GGCGCAUACAGAGGGCGGCCAACUUGCGAAAGUGAGCGAAUCCCAAAAAGUGCGUCGUAGUCCGGAUUGGAGUCUGCAACUCGACUCCAUGAAGUCGGAAUCGCUAGUAAUCGUGGAUCAGAAUGCCACGGUGAAUACGUUCCCGGGCCUUGUACACACCGCCCGUCACACCAUGGGAGUGGGCUGCAAAAGAAGUAGGUAGUUUAACCUUCGGGGGGACGCUUACCACUUUGUGGUUCAUGACUGGGGUGAAGUCGUAACAAGGUAGCGCUAGGGGAACCUGGCGCUGGAUCACCUCCUUA
rnacentral:rRNA from 1 species